rnacentral:rRNA from 1 species
UGCAGCGACGCCGCGUGAGGGAUGACGGCCUAUCGGGUUGUAAACCUCUUUCAGCAGGGACGAAGCGAGAGUGACGGUACCUGCAGAAGAAGCACCGGCCAACUACGUGCCAGCAGCCGCGGUAAUACGUAGGGUGCAAGCGUUGUCCGGAAUUACUGGGCGUAAAGAGCUCGUAGGCGGUUUGUCGCGUCGUCUGUGAAAACUCGAGGCUCAACCUCGAGCUUGCAGGCGAUACGGGCAGACUUGAGUACUGCAGGGGAGACUGGAAUUCCUGGUGUAGCGGUGAAAUGCGCAGAUAUCAGGAGGAACACCGGUGGCGAAGGCGGGUCUCUGGGCAGUAACUGACGCUGAGGAGCGAAAGCGUGGGUAGCGAACAGGAUUAGAUACCCUGGUAGUCCACGCCGUAAACGGUGGGCGCUAGGUGUGGGUUUCCUUCCACGGGAUCCGUGCCGUAGCUAACGCAUUAAGCGCCCCGCCUGGGGAGUACGGCCGCAAGGCUAAAACUCAAAGGAAUUGACGGGGGCCCGCACAAGCGGCGGAGCAUGUGGAUUAAUUCGAUGCAACGCGAAGAACCUUACCUGGGUUUGACAUAUACCGGAAAGCCGUAGAGAUACGGCCCCCCUUGUG